GCUAGGUGCCGAGUGCAGAGCUUGAUGUCGAGAGUGCUGAUGUAGUUUUCAGGCACGGGGAGGGAUGGGCGUGUCCGAGCUCCCAGUGAGGCAACUGGCCUUACAAUCACUAUUUUGGAUUUUAGUCAUUCUUACAGUCCAGGUCCCCUCUCAAACCAGCUAGCUGCAGUGGCCUCCUAAGGUGUGUCGUUGCCUGAAGCAUUGCAUCUCUCCAGUUCUUUCAAGACAUGGCCAUUUUGGAGGCAAAAUAUAUAAUUCACUUGGGAAUGCUGCUUCAACAAACUGUUGGAAUAAUUCGGAAAACUGCUAAUUAUGACUUGGGCCAAGAGAAAAAAGAACUCUGAAGCAGGUUCCUGCUGUGUUCCAAGCAGCUCUGAAGCUUGGGUCCUACAGUAUAAACUCCCUCUCACCAUGGCUGAUCUACCUGCUGUUGCUGCUAAAUGUGUAAUCUUCCAGCAAUAAAGAUCAUUCCCGAACUCUUGAUAUGGUAUCACUCCUUUUUCUUCCCCUCAGCCUUACAGAAGUAUAAGUGACACAUAAAAAUGUUAUGUAUCUAAGGUGUGCAUGUGAAGAUCUGAUGUACAUAUACAUUGUGUAAUGAUUAUCAAAAUCAGGCCAAUUAAUACAUCCAUCAUUUCAUGUAGUUACCUUUUUAUGGUAGAAAAAUGAUUAACUAGAUCUUAGCAAACUUGAAAGCAAAUUUCAAGUAUAAAAUACAGCAUCAGUUAUAGUCACCAUGCUGUAUAUCACAUCCCUAGAACUUACUCCUCUUAUUGGUAUUCUUCCUUCAGGUGACCAACCAGCUAUGU